rnacentral:rRNA from 1 species
GAUGAACGCUGGCGGCGUGCUUAACACAUGCAAGUCGAACGGAAAGGCCCAAGCUUGCUUGGGUACUCGAGUGGCGAACGGGUGAGUAACACGUGGGUGAUCUGCCCUGCACUUCGGGAUAAGCCUGGGAAACUGGGUCUAAUACCGGAUAGGACCACUUCUUGGAUGUUGUGGUGGAAAGUUUUUUCGGUGUGGGAUGAGCUCGCGGCCUAUCAGCUUGUUGGUGGGGUAAUGGCCUACCAAGGCGUCGACGGGUAGCCGGCCUGAGAGGGUGUACGGCCACAUUGGGACUGAGAUACGGCCCAGACUCCUACGGGAGGCAGCAGUGGGGAAUAUUGCACAAGGGGCGCAAGCCUGAUGCAGCGACGCCGCGGGGGGGAUGACGGCCUUCGGGUUGUAAACUCCCUUCGCUAGGGACGAAGCGUUUUGUGACGGUACCUGGAGAAGAAGCACCGGCUAACUACGUG